CCUCACAGCCAUGACGGCACUGAUGACAAGGGGGCAAAUACAAGCCAGCCCCUGGGAAUGCCCAGGUUUAUGACUUCAGCAAGGCAAAGAGAGGCAGAUUUCCCUGGCAGCCUACGUCACAACCCAACCCAGAAUACUUUCCAAGAAGCCCCCUUUGCUGCGCCACCCAGCAACCUUCCCGUCAGGUCUGGAUAAGCUGCCACUCCAGGCAAAAAACAAAAAAAAAAAAAAAAAGAAAAAAAAGAAAAAAAAAAAAAAAAGAAAAAAAGAAUAUUGCUCAUCCAAGCCAAAUGCCCAGGCAGGAAUAUUUUUAAUUGCCGGGUUUCCUUUCUCGGCUCCCCCUCCACACCCGCCCCACGCACAGACAAAAGAAGCUUAGCUUGCGUGACCCAGCGCAUAAGAAGAAAAUCUGUCGCUCCUGCCACCACCAAGCAUAAUAGCUCUCCCUCUUGCGCCGAGCCCGUAACGCCAGCGCCUGCCGGGGAUGCCACGCUACCCUAGCGCAUCGAACGGAGUGCUGAGGGGCUCCUGCGACCCCAGAAAGUGUCACAAAAUACACCCUUCCCUCGGUCAUGCGGAACCCCGUCCUCCCUUUGUUGAGCAUCCUCUCUCUCCCGCCGCCCCUUACUAGCGCAGCCGGCGCUUCACAGCCGAGCCGGGCACAUUCGCGGCCGCUCGGCGGCGGCGCCAGGGCUGCGGGAUAACAAUAAAGAAAAAAGGGUAAAAAUAACACCAACAAAUAAAAAAAUAAAUAAAUAAACCCCAACAGAGAUCCCGGGGAACCACCGCCCGGCGCCGCGCCUGGCUUUGUGCCAGGCAGGGUACCCCGUGCGCCAUCCAUCAGCCCCGCCGGCGGCGGCGGCCGCUGCCCGGGGCCCGGCACAAUGGCCGGAGCGGCGGCGGCCGCGGGACAAUAGCGCACCCCAAGCCCACCGCAGCGGCCCGGGGGGGACGGGAGGGACGAGGAGGACGAGGAGGACGAGGAGGAGAACGACACCGACCCGGCGGGGCGCGUUGUGCGCACGAUCGCUUUAAAUAAAAGGACCCACAAAGACCUCGGCGGUGUAUAAUGUGACAGGCAAACGCAACAUGGUGAUGAUGACUUGGGGGAAGAGGGAGGAAGGAGCCAACUGUGGCUGCGGCUCCCCCUGCGCCUCUCGCUCCCGGAGCGGGCUGCAGCGGCCGACAUAGAACAAGGAAGACAAUUCUCUACUAACCGUGGUUUUGACUGGCACGUACAGCACUUGCUUCCCUCCUCCAGCACCACCACUGACCUCGUCCGAGUUGCCGAGCUGGAAGCCUUUAGAUUUGACCCAGAAUUUGAAUUUGGCAUUAUCCGUGGAGCUCGACUCGGAGCCGUUCAGGAGCUGGACGAUCCGGUCGUAUUUUUUACGGGUCACCGUCUUGGUUUUUCCUGAGUCCCCGUAAGUCCUGAGACACCAGUCCUGAAACUGGCGGUACAUGUCCCGGUCGCUGCUCUCCAUAAUCUCCUAAUACACACACGCACACAUGCACACGCCGGGGCGCACACACACACACACGGACACGCACACAGACACGGGCAGACACACGGACACGCACACGCCGCCCCGAAGCGGGCCGGGGUACGGGGCCGGGCCGCCCCGCCGCACUUUGCACCUGUUCACCCAGCGCUCAUGAAAAAUGCAUCCACCUCCGAGCCGGAGCGAAGGAGGUCCCGGUGCAGGCA